rnacentral:misc_RNA from 1 species
GAUGAAGAACUUAGCGAAAUGCGAUAAGUAAUGCGAAUUGCAGAAUUUCCGUGAAUCAUCGAAUCUUUGAACGCACAUUGCGCCCCCUGGUAUUCCGGGGGGCAUGCCUGUUCGAGCGUCAUUUCACCACUCAAGCCUCGCUUGGUAUUGGGCAACGCGGUCCGCCGCGUGCCUCAAAUCGACCGGCUGGGUCUUCUGUCCCCUAAGCGUUGUGGAAACUAUUCGCUAAAGGGUGUUCGGGAGGCUACGCCGUAAAACAACCCCAUUUCUAAGGUUGACCUCGGAUCAGGUAGGGAUACCCGCUGAACUUAAGCAUAUCAAUAAGCGGAGGA